rnacentral:rRNA from 1 species
UACACUCCUGCGGGAGGCAGCAGUGGGGAAUAUUGCACAAUGGGCGCAAGCCUGAUGCAGCGACGCCGCGUGGGGGAUGAAGGCCUUCGGGUUGUAAACUCCUUUCGCUAGGGACGAAGCUUUUUUGUGACGGUACCUAGAUAAGAAGCACCGGCUAACUACGUGCCAGCAGCCGCGGUAAUACGUAGGGUGCGAGCGUUGUCCGGAAUUACUGGGCGUAAAGGGCUCGUAGGUGGUUUGUCGCGUCGUCUGUGAAAUUCUGGGGCUUAACUCCGGGCGUGCAGGCGAUACGGGCAUAACUUGAGUGCUGUAGGGGUAACUGGAAUUCCUGGUGUAGCGGUGAAAUGCGCAGAUAUCAGGAGGAACACCGAUGGCGAAGGCAGGUUACUGGGCAGUUACUGACGCUGAGGAGCGAAAGCAUGGGUAGCGAACAGGAUUAGAUACCCCAGUAGUCCCAUG